UACGGGGGGGGGGCAAGCGUUGUUCGGAAUUACUGGGCGUAAAGGGCUCGUAGGCGGCCAACUAAGUCAGACGUGAAAUCCCUCGGCUUAACCGGGGAACUGCGUCUGAUACUGGAUGGCUUGAGUUUGGGAGAGGGAUGCGGAAUUCCAGGUGUAGCGGUGAAAUGCGUAGAUAUCUGGAGGAACACCGGUGGCGAAGGCGGCAUCCUGGACCAACACUGACGCUGAGUGAGCGAAAGCCAGGGGAGCAAACGGG
rnacentral:rRNA from 1 species